UCAAAAGUCAAGUCGGGGGCUGCAAAGCCCUCGUCUACACCCAUGUCUUUUGCGUACUUCUUGUUUCCUCGGUGGCGCAAGCCGCCGAUUGGACAAACCAAAGCCUUUUUUGUAAUUGCAAUCAGCGUCUGAAAAUAAUCUAACUAUUUA
rnacentral:misc_RNA from 1 species